CUUAUCCCACCAUACCCUCUUUCUAUUCUGUUUAUAAACAUAACAGCUUUCAAGGGUUUUUGCAUAUAUAAAGAGUAUCUUUUAUUUUCCAUAGAAAAAAAAGCAGUGUUUUAUAAUGAAUUUAUCAGCUUCGCAAUGUGGUAGUGGUUGUGAAUCUGGUUGGACUUUCUACUUAGACCAAUCCUCUUGUUCUCAAACUGGGAACUUCGGUGAGGAUUAUGGGGUGAAAGGAGCAAGAUUCGUGGUUGAAGAUGAUGAAGAGGAGGGCUUAUCCAUGGUGUCUGAUGCAUCUUCUGGCCCAAGACAACAUUGUUAUUGCCAAGAAAAUGGCUGCUUCUCUUCUCAUCCUUCAACCACUCAAAAACCGGACAAGAAAAGCUGCAGAAACAUUAACAAUAUCAAAGAUGAUUAUAGUAAUAAUCAACAGCGUUUUUGUCUUGAUGAUACUGCCAGCUCCCCUGUAAUAAGCUUUUCCGUGGCAAGUUUCACAAUAUCAUACAGGCAUACACACUAAUACGCCUAGUCGGGGUUCAUUUGUGACAAAAUUAAGUAACAACGGGUGUUUUCCCCUCUCUUUUUGGUGUAUUUACAGAAGAACUUCAAGGGAGAAGCAUCAGCAGACUUGGACUUUUCACAGGGUUUUUCUGGUACACAUUUUAAGGGUAAAUCUGCAUCCCAGAAAACACUUGGUUUCAUGAAAUAUGGAAAAACAAGUUCAAAGCAUGCAAGUGGUUUCCAGGAAAGAAGCAGGGGAUGACAAAAAGGGUAAACUUCAACAGCUUUUGUCUCAGCUGUCCUGGAAAGAGAAAUGGGAGGGAUUGUUCUAAAAGAAAAACAAAUAGACCUUAGAUCUCAAAGGGGACUUUUUUUUAAUGUUUUUAUUUCUUUGAUCAUGUCAAUGCAGCGGGAAACAACAUGAGAACAUUAAAAAGAAUAUCAAUUUCUCUCUGUCAAUAGGGUUUGUUUUCUCGAGUUUAUUUUCUUGACACCACCAUGAAUGGACCAUGUAAUUGAUGGUGGAAUCAGUUGGAUAGGGUUAGUACAUUUGGUGACUUAUGUUUAUCCAGAUCCGAAAAACAAACAUUGUGGGUUAAAGGAAGCAAUAGGCAAAGCUUCAUUUUUCCAGCCAGAAAAAACACCACUCCAUCAUCAAUAUCUUAUAGAUACAAAACUUCGCUGUUAAAGAAAGAUCGGGAACAAUGAUCGAGCCAUCAAUGAUUCGUAACUUGUUUUUGGCCAAUAAAACAAGCAUCAUCGAUCUUUUCAAACUAUGAAAAUUGUCAUUGGAAAGAAGUUGCGUGACAAGAACAGUUCCGGGAUUAUCCUACUGAUGUAGAUAGUACGGAUUACCUAUUAUCAAAACGAUCACUCAAAGAAUCGGGCAUGACGGAGUUGGAAGGGAUGCUAUUUUCUUCUGAUACUAUAUAACAACAAGAAUAUCUUGCAAAGAACUUAAAUAGA